UACGGGGGGGGCAAGCGUUGUUCGGAAUUACUGGGCGUAAAGGGCUCGUAGGCGGCCAACUAAGUCAGACGUGAAAUCCCUCGGCUUAACCGGGGAACUGCAUCUGAUACUGGAUGGCUUGAGGUUGGGAGAGGGAUGCGGAAUUCCAGGUGUAGCGGUCAAAUGCGUAGAUAUCUGGAGGAACACCGGUGGCGAAGGCGGCAUCCGGGGCCAAUUCUGACGCUGAGUGAGCGAAAGCCAGGGGAGCAAACGGG
rnacentral:rRNA from 1 species